UAUUUUGCUCUGUUGAAAAAUUUAAAGUGGAUUCUCCAGGCUCCAGCCUGAUCUCCUUAUUGUUCCUCUCCCUAACUCAUAUACUUGAUUUUAGCCUCCUCCAACCUAUUGUCAGCAUCUCCGCCCUUCUUGCAACCCUCGAGAGACUGCUAAGCCCUCCAACUUUUUUUAACCUGUCUCAGAGAAGCUGUGUCUGGCCUCUGCUGUAUCCCUUUGCAUCCCUGAGGGCUUGGAAGACCUUGGCACCUUCAUACGCUCUUGCGGUGGAUGUGGGUGUGGUGACAAGGCUGGAUCACCGGAGACAGGCAGAGAGUGGUGUUGGCGUAUGGGACCUAAUGCUAGUACAGGCCGUUGAUGCUCACUGCCAUCAGCUGCAUCCUCCCUAUGGCACUGGUAUCUCAUUCAGUUGCUAAACUUAUAUUAGUUAAUUUCCACUGGCAAGUUUCAGAGAUAUUGGACAGAUACAAGUCCAAUUCUGCUCAACUGCUUGUUGAGGCUCGAGUUCAGCCUAAUCCAUCAAAACAUGUUCCCACAUCCCAUCCCCCUCACCACUGUGCAGUGUGUAUGCAGU
rnacentral:sRNA from 1 species